CGAUUGUUUUGUUAAAUAUAUGUAUUGGUGUGUAUGUAUAUGUUAAUGAAAAAAGGUAGCGUCAGAAAAUCUGUUUUUUUAAUGUAGCGUGAAAGUUAACCAUUUAUUGACUGUUUAGAGGUUGUAAGGCUUUUACCUAACUUAACUGUAUUUAGUAUUAAUGAUGCUGCAUUCUUUCCUCAGAAGCUAAAGUUUUUCAAAGACAUUUGUAGGGAGGACUUUGCAGCUAAUGAUUUCCUAAGGCUGAACCAAAACCUGCCAGACUAAAGUUGAUUUGGGAGAGAAAGACAUUGUAAACUUAAUCAUCUUGACAUUCUUCAAUGAGUAAUUGUUCAAUUUUUAGGCAAAUACUGUACACUUUGAAUGCUGUGAAUAAAACUAUAUUUUAAAUAUAUUUAAAA